rnacentral:lncRNA from 1 species
AUCCACUGCCAUCUAUCCUCUCAAACCCUAAUUAUUUUCUAAUAUAUUCUUUCUCUUUCUAUACAACUAACCCCUUAGCCGGCACCACCAUUGCUCUCUCUCUCUCUCUCUCUCUCUCAUAUCGACGCCACCAUCAUUCGCAAACACAAAGAAGCACUCCGAUCUCUCUCUCCACCACAUGAAAAGCCACUGCAUCAACAUGGCCAUUGAUCUCCUGACUCUCUUGUCACAGUAGUCGUCGCGCAUGACAGCGAGGCCCUGCUAAUCGCUGCAGAUCAUUAGGGUGUUGUAGAUUGGAGUUGGAGAAGAGAAGGGAUACUUGUUGGUUGUGGCGACCAUAGUGCAAGUGAAUCUAUGAGAUUUGGUCAGUCGGAUUUUAUUGGUUUUUAAGGUGUUUUUUGGUGGUUGUGUAGGUCAGUAGGUGGAUCUGGCGAUGUUGGCAGUGGAUUUUGAUGAUGCCAAAGUGGUGUGUAGGUGGAUCUAGCGCUAUCAACAAUGGUGAGAUGGUGAUCGCAAAGGGUUGUGAUUUAGGUAGUGUUAAUGUUGGUAGGUGGCACCGUGGUAUUUGUGGAGGAGGCGACGGUCGAGUGGAAUGCAAAGUUUUUGUGACCAACAAAUUGGUUGAUUACGACCAAUAAACAAUAUGUAAUAUAAAAAAAAAUGUGAUUG